rnacentral:RNase_P_RNA from 1 species
AGCGUGAACAGGCGGCCGCUGGUGGUGCGGGAACAUCAUCAGAGGAAAGUCCGAGCACGGCAGAACACGGCGGUGGGUAACGCCCACCCAUCCUUUGCGAGGCUGCCCCUGACGGGGCAUCUCGGUCCGGGAUGAGGGACAGUGCCACAGAGAAUGAACCGCCGAUGGCCCGCCCCCCCUCCCAAACGAAAGUUUGGGAUAAGGCGGGAUCAGGUAAGGGUGAAAAGGUGCGGUAAGAGCGCACCGCUUGCUGGGUGACCAGCGAGGCAUGGAAAACCCCGCCGCGUGCAAGGUCACGCAGUUUCCGUCGAAUACCGGGCUCGCAAGGGUUCCGGAAGUGCCUCUCUCCAGGGGGGGCGUUCGAACGACCUGUUUCGGUCGGACUGGAAACGGGUGGACCGCAGGGGCCGAACCGCUCUGGAGAGCAGUUCAAGAAGCGCCCCGACCGCGGCGGCAACGCCGCGGCUAGAGAAAUGGCCGCCCCCGCAGGAAGGCCUGUCAAACUCUCGGCCCUCCCAGAGCCCCCGUCAAAGGACUUGGGAGGGAAAGGCAAUGACAGGAACCGCUUGCGAGGACAGAACUCGGCUUACACGUUCACGCUCGAU